rnacentral:rRNA from 1 species
AGUGAACGCUGGCGGUAGGCCUAACACAUGCCAGUCGAACGGCAGCACAGUAAGAGCUUGCUCUUACGGGUGGCGAGUGGCGGACGGGUGAGGAAUACAUCGGAAUCUACUUUUUCGUGGGGGAUAACGUAGGGAAACUUACGCUAAUACCGCAUACGACCUACGGGUGAAAGCAGGGGAUCUUCGGACCUUGCGCGAUUGAAUGAGCCGAAGUCGGAUUAGCUAGUUGGCGGGGUAAAGGCCCACCAAGGCGACGAUCCGUAGCUGGUCUGAGAGGAUGAUCAGCCACACUGGAACUGAGACACGGUCCAGACUCCUACGGGAGGCAGCAGUGGGGAAUAUUGGACAAUGGGCGCAAGCCUGAUCCAGCCAUACCGCGUGGGUGAAGAAGGCCUUCGGGUUGUAAAGCCCUUUUGUUGGGAAAGAAAAGCAGCAGGUUAAUACCCCGCUGUUCUGACGGUACCCAAAGAAUAAGCACCGGCUAACUUCGUG